rnacentral:rRNA from 1 species
GACGAACGCUGGCGGCGUGCUUAACACAUGCAAGUCGAACGGAAAGGCCCUGCUUUUGUGGGGUGCUCGAUUGGCGAAGGGGUGAGUAACACGUGAGUAACCUGCCCUUGACUUUGGGAUAACUUCAGGAAACUGGGGCUAAUACCGGAUAGGAGCUCCUGCUGCAUGGGGGGGGUUGGAAAGUUUCGGCGGUUGGGGAUGGACUCGCGGCUUAUCAGCUUGUUGGUGGGGUAGUGGCUUACCAAGGCUUUGACGGGUAGCCGGCCUGAGAGGGUGACCGGCCACAUUGGGACUGAGGUACGGCGCAGACUCCUACCGGCGGCAGCAGUCGGGAAUCUUGCACAAUGGCCCGAAGCCUGAUGCAGCAACGCCGCGUGCGGGAUGACCGCCUUCGGGUUGUAAACCGCUUUCGCCUGUGACGAAGCGUGAGUGACGGUACUGGGUAAAGAAGCACCGGCUAACUACGUG